rnacentral:rRNA from 1 species
UACAGAGGUCCCAAGCGUUGUUCGGAUUUACUGGGCGUAAAGGGUGCGUAGGUGGCGAGGUAAGUUCGAUGUGAAAUCUCCGAGCUCAACUCGGAAAUGGCAUUGAAUACUACCCCGCUUGAGGGUCGGAGGGGAGACUGGAAUUCUCGGUGUAGCAGUGAAAUGCGUAGAUAUCGAGAGGAACACCAGUGGCGAAGGCGAGUCUCUGGACGACUCCUGACACUGAGGCACGAAAGCUGGGGGAGCAAACAGG